rnacentral:rRNA from 1 species
GAUGAACGCUAGCGGCAGGCUUAAUACAUGCAAGUCGAGGGGUAGCAAGAUUGUAGCAAUACAAUUGUUGACGACCGGCAAACGGGUACGGAACAGGUAAACAACCUUCCUACAAGUGGGGAACAGCCAAUAGAAAUUUGGAUUACUACCCCUUAACAUAGCGUUGUGGCAUCAAAUUGCUAUUAUUGCUUCUGCGCUUGUUGAUGGGUGUGCGGCUGAUUAGAUGGUGGGCGGGGUAACGGCCCACCAAGUCUACGAUCAGUAGCUGAUGUGAGAGCAUGAUCAGCCACACGGGCACUGAGACACGGGCCCGACUCCUACGGGAGGCAGCAGUAAGGAAUAUUGGACAAUGGACGCAAGUCUGAUCCAGCCAUGCCGCGUGAAGGAUUAAGGUCCUCUGGAUUGUAAACUUCUUUUAUAAGGGACGAAAAAAGGUCUUUCUAGAUCGUCUGACGGUACCUUAUGAAUAAGCACCGGCUAACUCCGUGCCAGCCGCCGCAGUAACAC